ensembl:lncRNA
GCAGUUGACACAGUACAGUGGUGUAGUGGUUAGCACUCUCGCCUCCCAGACAGGUGCCUCGGGUUCAACUCCACCCAGUGGUGCCACUGUGUUAGAUGGUGUAGGCUAAGCCUGCAUGGGAUUCACUCCAUACUUGUAAAAGUAAUGGAAAAAAGUUUUUUAAAACUUCCGCAUCUGAAAAGAAUCCCCAAAUAUUUUGCAAAAAGUCAUGAAAUUCUAUCUUUAGUCAUAUGAAGGGCGACGACGGUGAGAAAACGUACUUUUGAACAAAAAUCUGAUUUUUUUCUAAAUUGGGAGUAAUUAGACAUUCUAAUGGCAGCAGUUGACACGGUACAGUGGUGUAGUGGUUAGCACUCUCGCCUCCCAGAGAGAUGCCUCGGGUUCAACUCCACCCAGUGGUGCCUCUGUGUUAGGUGGUGUAGGCUAAGCCUGCACGGGAUUCACUCCAUACUUGUAAAAGUAAUGAAAAAAGUUUUUUAAAACUUCCGCAUCUGAAAAGAAUGCCAAAAUAUUUUGCAAAAAGUCAUGAAAUUCUAUCUUUAGUCAUAUGAAGGGCGACGACGGUGAGAAAACGUACUUUUGAAUAUAAAUCUGAAUUCUUUCUGAAUUGGAGUCAUAAGACAUUCUAAUGGCAGCAGUUGACACGGUACAGUGGUGUAGUGGUUAGCACUCUCGCCUCCCAGAGAGAUGCCUCGGGUUCAACUCCACCCAGUGGUGCCUCUGUGUUAGGUGGUGUAGGCUAAGCCUGCACGGGAUUCACUCCAUACUUGUACAACUAAUGAAAAACGUUUUUUAAAACUUUCGCAUCUGAAAAGAAUGCCAAAAUAUUUUGCAAAAUGUCAUGAAAUUCUAUCUUUAGUCAUAUGAAGGGGGACAAUGGUGAGAAAACGUACUUUUGAAUAAAAAUCCGGAUAUUUUCUAAAUUGGAGUCAAUAGACAAUCUAAUUGCAGCAGUUGACACGGUACAGUGGUGUAGUGGUUAGCACUCUCGCCUCCCAGACAGAUGCCUCGGGUUCAACUCCACCCAGUUGUCCCUCUGUGUUAGGUGGUGUAGGCUAAGCCUGCAUGGGAUUAAUUCCAUACUUGUAAAAGUAAUUAAAAAAGUUUUUUUAAAACUUCCGCAUCUGAAAAGAAUGCCAAAAUAUUUUGCAAAAUGUCAUGAAAUUCUAUCUUUAGUCAUAUGAAGGGGGACAAUGGAGAGAAAACGUACUUUUGAAUAAAAAUCUGAAUUUUU